CAGCAUCCCUCAUGUCCAACCUGGUAGGCAUUUCCUGAGGCCCAAGUCCUGUCUCCCACCUGACAGCUAGUCCCAAGAUUUUACCACUUCAUGAUAUCCUGGAGCUGGAAACCUGCUGUUCUCAGGGAGUCUGAGGGAUGGGAGUUACACCUUCACUUUUCACUAGCUUUCACUUUAAAGGGACUCUUAGCAUUAACCUUAUUCUCAUUGUAAUUAUAGGGGUGAAACUCCUGCCAAGUCUCCUCACCAUUUGUAUCUUUGACUUGCCUGGACCACUUCCUCAUGGCCUCCUCCUGUUUUAAAGGAAAACACUUUUUGUGAAGUGCUGUACCGCUAUCUCUGAAGGCCUGUGUGCCGGGAACAUUCGCCCAGGUUGGAGGAUGCUGAGUCCAGAUGGGGAGGAAUGGCCACCCUCACAGAGCUCUCAGCUGCCUUUUGCAUUUGCCACUGAGCUCCGGUAUUGUACUCCUCAAGAGCGGUUUUGGGCGCCGAUUUCCCAGGUCUUCACUGGGGAGGUCCUGGUGCCCCCUGGUUUCUCCUUUCCGCGUUGGCUUUACAUAGUUUGAGGUGUCCCGGCGCCGGCCUCACUUGAAACACUGCAUCUUCUUCCAGGAACGAGGGAUGACCUCGGGCUGCGGCUACUACUGGUGGGGUCUGGCCGGGUCCCACCGUCAAGAGGGUGGGCUUGGGUCUGAAUCAUCUUGGUAACCCUAGCCCCUGUGACAGGGCCUAGCAUAUAGCAGGUAGUCGGUGAAUGUUUGGAGGAUAAAUGAAUGAAUAAGCGAAUGGAUGAUGACAGGUGGGCUCAGCAACUCUGUCCACCCCGAAGUCCUCAGUGAUGACCUGACCUGAUAUGUUCCCCACAACAGAGCCCUAGCCGCGGCCUCCCGGGCUCUCCUUCCCCUCCCACACCAAGAAAGGGGUGCAGACUGCACAGAGGCUCCCCUCUGAGGACCUUGCUGGGCUGGGGCCUGGCGGGAACAACAACGGACUCCCAUGCUCACCCUUGCCUUACCCAGACUCUACAGUCCCUUGCUUCAGAUGUCUUUGUGGGCUGACAUACAGUAAGUGCUCAAUAAAUGUUUAUUGAAUUGGA